rnacentral:lncRNA from 1 species
AUUUAAGACUAUCAGACUAGGGAGUUCUGACGUGGCUCAGCAGAAAUGAAUCUGACUAGCAUCCAAGAGGACACAGGUUUGAUCCCUGGCUUACUCAGUGGGUUAAGAAUCCUUCCUGCAUUGCCGUGAGCUGCAGUGUAGGUCACAGACGCUGCUCGGAUCCCACUUUGCUGUGGCUGUGGUGCAGGCUGGCAGCUGCAGCUCUGAUUUGACCCCUAGUAUGGGAAUUUCCACAUGCCACAAUACGGCCGGUUAAAAAAAAAAAAAAAAGACACACACACACACAAAACCUACCAGAUUAUUGUGGGACUUAGAAAAUACCUAAUUUUAUGAAAAUACAGAUUGUUUUGUAUAAAGAUUAGGGCUUUGCUCAUCUUCACUGAUGAACACUAAGUUUGCAUGAAUGCUGCCUCUGCUUUCCUGCCCACGCUCCCCAAUAACCUAUUCUAUUGCUUUCUAGUGAUAAAUUAGAAAGUAGUCAACUAAUCCAAGCCAAGGAGUGAAAACAUUUCUUGAGUAACCAUAACAAGGUGAUUUCUCCCAGAGGUAUCUUUAUCUCAAAAGAAUCUUCUAAGAAACAUUCUUGGACAGUAAGACUUGGAUCACAAGAUCCUAAAAAAAAAAAAAAAAAAAAAGCCUGAAAUAUAGCAACUAGGGAGAGGAAAAGAGACAGGCAAAGACUAUCCACUGAAAACAAGUAAAAUCUGUUGGUAGAGAAGCCAAGAAAUACUAAACUAGGGAGUCAGAACACAAUCUGACUGCUACUUCACAUAAUUUUUCUCACCACUCUAUCUAUAACUCAAUUCUUAAACUACCUUUCACCCUACCAAGCCCUAUAACAAACUAUCACCUUUGCAAACAUUCCUUUACUUUGGAAGGGCCUCCUGUCUCUCCCCUUCUCCAUCUAGAAAAAUCCUACUCAUUCCUCAAGAGCAAGCUUCUUUCUUCUGACCUCCCAUAAUCUACUGUGUUGUACGUAUUAUAUGUAGAUUGAGUUCUCCAAAGUAAGACACCGUCUUCAAUAAUUUGGUAUCUCUAAAAUCUUGCAAUGUCUAGAGUAAAAUACAAAUGCAAAUGUUUGAUGAAAUAAAUGAUUUAAUGAUGAAUGAAUGAGCAACCUUAGGCAGUUUCUAC